rnacentral:rRNA from 1 species
UACGGAGGAUGCGAGCGUUAUCCGGAUUUAUUGGGUUUAAAGGGUGCGCAGGCGGCACGGCAAGCCGGCGGUCAAAUCGCGGGGCUCAACCCCGCCCAGCCGUCGGAACUGCCGGGCUAGAGUGGGCGAGAAGUGCGCGGAAUGCGAGGUGUAGCGGUGAAAUGCAUAGAUAUCACGCAGAACUCCGAUUGCGAAGGCAGCGCACCGGCGCCCUACUGACGCUCAGGCACGAAAGCGUGGGUAUCGAACAGG